UACAGGGGGUGCAAGCGUUAUUCGGAAUUAUUGGGCGUAAAGAGCGUGUAGGCGGCCAAGCAAGUUUGGUGUGAAAGCCCCGGGCUUAAUCCGGGAAGUGCAUUGAAUACUGCUAGGCUAGAGUAUAGGAGAGGAUGGCGGAAUUCCUGGUGUAGAGGUGAAAUUCGUAGAUAUCAGGAGGAACAACAGAGGCGAAGGCGGCCAUCUGGACUAUUACUGACGCUAAGGCGCGAAAGUGUGGGGAGCAAACAGG
rnacentral:rRNA from 1 species